AUGGGGUUCAAGCCCGCAACCCUGGCAUGUGGCCUGGUUCAUAGGUCAACACUCAACCACUGAGUGACACAGGCUGGCCUGUUUAAUUUUAACUGCACUGGGGAAAGAAAGGCAUUGCCUCAUUUGGAUGUGUCUGGAGUCUUGUAAGCUUGAUAUCCAGUUCUCCUACAAAUGGAUCUUGAGAGCUUUGUUUGGAGGCUCUAGCAGGCGAGCAAUUACUUGUAUACCCCUUGACAGAAAAACUGGUUAAACCCGGACAGCUUCGGGAGAGACACUUGGAGUGGUGAGGGAGGAAGGAGACACCCAUGCCUAGCUAGCCAGAUCAGCCGAAUCAACCCUACUGAUCAAUGGGGUGACAUGUCACAGCCUGGUCAUUUGUUUUCAAUCAUUAUGGAAGGGAAAAGUAACUCAGAAAGGCUAUAAUGAUAAUCAAGUGCUUUUACAUUAGUGAGAGUAGAGGUGAGUGGAAUUAAAUAUUUUAUUACACUUUAAUAACUAAAAGUGCAUGAUACCCACCCACAACCCAUAUGAAAACUCCAAAGUUAUCACUCCUGAGUUUGAGUGCCUUAUUAAGACAGUAUAAGUAAAAUAUAAAGAGUUUAUUAAAAUACAUACUUUUGUUAUAUGUGAAACUUAGAAAUAUUUUAAUAUACACUUUAAAUUUUACACAAUCUCAUCUUCCCAGUAAAAGUACAAAAGAGAACAGCAUGUUUAAGAAUCAGGCAUAACUUGGAGAUACUGUGGGUUUGGUUCCAGACCACCCACCACAAUACAAUAAAGUGAAUCAAACAAAUUUUUUUGGUUUCCUAGUGCAUAUAAAGGUUAUGCUUAUGCUACACAUAAUUGCAGUCUAUUCAGUAUGCAACACCAUUAUAUCUUUUAAAAAUACCUUAAUUUAAAAAUGCUAUAUUGCUAAAAAAUGUUAACCAUCUGAGUUUUCAGCAAGUUGUAAUUUUUUUGGUGCAGAUAAACUUGACACAGGGUUGCAACUAAACCUUCAGUCGCAAAAUAACCAAUGUUCUGCAAAAGUGCCAUAAAACGAGGUAUGCCUGUACUGACUAUAUUCAUGUGUACUAUAUGUUUUGUCCACUAAAAACUGGCAAGAGUCCCCCAUAUAUUACAUGGCCUUGAACAAAUUUUUUGUGGUUUUUCAUGUAAGCGGGGGUGGGGGGUCAUACCUACUUCACAAAUGUGAAAUUAAGUAUUUGACACAUUUCAGUGCUUAUUAAUAUUUACAUGUAUUUAAAGCUACAUGUUUUUGUGUCGUGACUAAUGCUUUAAUCAAAAUCUCAAAUGUUCUUUGCCCACACAGUAGUUAAUUGUGUGAGGUAUAUUAUGAUGCUGGUCAUAAACAGACCUAGCCAGCCAUCUUAGUGUUGGCUCUCUUUUAAGUAAAAUUCAAGAAAAUAAGAUUAAAUUGGUACUUAGGCAUUAGCAUAAGAGAAUGGCAAAAAAGUAUAUAAGUUUUUAAGACAAAUACAGUUAACAUGUUGACAUCUAAGUCUAAUGAGAACGGAAUACAUAACGUUUCAAAAUUUUUAUCCAAGAACUUAGUUGGCAACUGAACACUACACUAAAGUUAAAUAUAAUCCUAAAGUAACACAAACCACAAAAUAGAAAAUGUUGCUGUUUGUUCUCUAACAACACUUAAGAUUUCCAAAAGCAAUAGCUUUAUUAGAAGUAAAUGUUGAUAAACAAUUUUAAGGCUCUUAAAUCCAUCUAAAACAAUGUGUGGAUCUGGUUUAUUUGAUCAAAAACAUCUUUAAGCAGCCCCUUAUCAUUUUAGACUUUGCUGCUUGAUUUUAAAACCUCACCAUCUUUAUUUGCCCAUGCAAAAGAAUCAAGCCACAUCAAAAAUAAGUGCAUAGGUACUUACAGAUUUUACCAUCUUUUUUUCUAAAAGCUAUGUAUGAAGAACUGCAAAGUCAAUCACUACAGCCAUAUUAAUGCUAAAAGACAAUAUUGGUAAAACAAUGUUUAAAUGCCACAACAAUAUUAAGUCAACCUCUCAAAUCCAUUAAAAAGGAUAGUACUCAAAUCAACUAGAUUUUAUUCUAGUUUUCAGACCAAAAACCAGAGACACUGCUUCAUUUCUGAUACAUUUCUAUCCAACAGAAACAUGAUUUAAAAUAUUUCUACAUAUUUGUUGCAAUUCUAAUAAAGUUUAGUUUGCUAUUUUACUUAUCCAUGCAACCCAUAUUUCUCCAUUUAGCAAUGGUUGUUAGUCCCUGUUUAGAAAAAGCCUAUUUGAAUUUAGAUUUGCAUUUUCAACGAAAGAC